rnacentral:rRNA from 1 species
CAAGCGUUAUCCGGAAUCAUUGGGUUUAAAGGGUCCGUAGGCGGUUUAGUAAGUCAGUGGUGAAAGCCCAUCGCUCAACGGUGGAACGGCCAUUGAUACUGCUAGACUUGAAUUAUUAGGAAGUAACUAGAAUAUGUAGUGUAGCGGUGAAAUGCUUAGAGAUUACAUGGAAUACCAAUUGCGAAGGCAGGUUACUACUAAUGGAUUGACGCUGAUGGACGAAAGCGUGGGUAGCGAACAGGAUUAGAUACCCUGGUAGUCCACGCCGUAAACGAUGGAUACUAGCUGUUGGGAGCGAUCUCAGUGGCUAAGCGAAAGUGAUAAGUAUCCCACCUGGGGAGUACGUUCGCAAGAAUG